rnacentral:rRNA from 1 species
UGAGUACGAGAUGCUACGGCGUCGAAGCAGUCUAGGUCAUACUUCCAAGAAAAGCUUGCACUGUCAUAAACAAAGAAUGCCUGUACCAUAACCGACACAGGUGGGUAGGUAGAGUAUACUAAGGGGCGCGAGAUAACUCUCUCUAAGGAACUCGGCAAAAUGACUCCGUAACUUCGGGAGAAGGAGUGCCUUAUUUUUAAGGUUGCAAUAACAAGAUCCAAGCAACUGUUUACCAAAAACACAGGUCUCCGCUAAGUCGUAAGACGAUGUAUGGGGGCUGACGCCUGCCCAGUGCCAGAAGGUUAAAGAAGUUGGUUAGCAUUCGCGAAGCUGAUAACUGAAGCCCUGGUGAACGGCGGCCGUAACUAUAACGGUCCUAAGGUAGCGAAAUUCCUUGUCGGGUAAGUUCCGACCCGCACGAAAGGCGUAAUGAUUUGGAUACUGUCUCGGAGAGGGGCUCGGUGAAAUAGACUUGUCUGUGAAGAUGCGGACUACCUGCACCUGGACAGAAAGACCCUAUGAAGCUUUACUGUAACUUGAGAUUGAAAUUGGACUUUAUUUGCGCAGUAUAGGUGGGAGGCGUUGAGAAUAAUCUUGCGGGAUUAUCGGAGCCAUCAGUGAGAUACCACUCUUGUAAUGUUAGAUUUCUAACUUUGUAUCAUUAUCUGGUCAAAGAACAGUUUCAGGCGGGCAGUUUGACUGGGGCGGUCGCCUCCCAAAGGGUAACGGAGGCGCACAAAGGUUUCCUCUGAACGGGUAGAAAUCGUAUCUAGAGUGUAAAGGCAUAAGGAAGCUUGACUGUGAGACCUACAAGUCGAGCAGGGACGAAAGUCGGUCUUAGUGAUCUGACGGUGCUGAGUGGAAAGGCCGUCACUCAACGGAUAAAAGUUACUCUAGGAUAACAGGCUGAUCUCCCCCAAGAGUUCACAUCGACGGGGAGGUUUGGCACCUCGAUGUCGGCUCAUCGCAUCCUGGGGCGGUAGUACGUCCCAAGGGUUGGGCUGUUCGCCCAUGAAAGCGGUACGCGAGCUGGGUUCAGAACGUCGUGAGACAGUUCGGUCCAUAUCCGGUGUAGGCGUUAGAAUAUUGAAAGGAGCCUUCUCUAGUACGAGAGGACCGAGAAGGACAUACCUCUGGUGUGCCAGUUAUCGUGCCAACGGUAAACGCUGGGUAGCUAUGUAUGGAGUGGAUAACCGCUGAAAGCAUCUAAGUGGGAAGCCCACCUUAAGAUAAGUAUUCUC